UACGUAGGGCGCAAGCGUUAUCCGGAAUUAUUGGGCGUAAAGAGCUCGUAGGCGGUUUGUCGCGUCUGCCGUGAAAGUCCGGGGCUCAACUCCGGAUCUGCGGUGGGUACGGGCAGACUAGAGUGAUGUAGGGGGAGACUGGAAUUCCUGGUGUAGCGGUGAAAUGCGCAGAUAUCAGGAGGAACACCGAUGGCGAAGGCAGGUCUCUGGGCAUUAACUGACACUGAGGAGCGAAAGCAUGGGGAGCGAAACAGG
rnacentral:rRNA from 1 species